GUUAUAAUAAGGCGUCUUUCGGUGACGUCACAAGUCAGGCCAGGACCCGGAUGUCGCGCCAUUUUGGACAAUACGGGAAGCAGUCAAUUAAAAGGCGAUAUGUAACCUCGAUAUAAAAGUCGAGAUUCUGGGGUACUCAAAGCCCUUUGACACGACUUCCACAUUUACCCAUUCACACACUGAUGGAGGGAGCUGUCAUGCAAGGCGCUAACCAAGACCCAUCAGGAGCAAGGGUGAAGUGUCUUCAACGGACGUGACGAGGAGUUUGGUGGCUUGCCAGGCGUUGCUGAACAGGUUUCGACGAGUUCCCUCCUCAUCUUCUUAUGUUGGACGGAGAAACCUGUCGAAGCAGUGUUCCAGUGCGCAAUGGCAGGUGUACACUCAGGUCGAGUUCUCGGUCCCGGAAGCUGUGUCUUAUCAGCAGCGCAUGUGAUGGUGUCGGUAGCCAGGAGCGAGACGGCGCUAUUGUACCGCUGCCUGGGGCCGAGUGACGGAUGACAGCGCCUUCUCUCUGGAGGAAAUGGGGAGGCCAGAGUGUGAGCCUGAGACCAGACACGCUACUGCCCGUGUUGUUGCCAUCCAGGAAGGUUCUGCCAAACUUGGAGGCCAUGAGAGGAGGAAGUGACCAGUCUGGAUCCCCUGCCCUUUGCCCUCCCUCGGGUCCCAUAAAUAAGCCCGCUGUAAUUCCCUUCCAGACGGCCUUGCCCUAGCAGUGUGCGCGCGUGGUAGGACGCAGUUGUCAGCGGAAGUGGAUACUUCAUGACAACAUCCGGUUUUGGUUUAUCUAUAAUACCAUUGGGGUGUAUCUUGCCAGUGAGCACACCUGUUGGGGCCUCCUCACUCAUCUGGCG